rnacentral:rRNA from 1 species
UACGAAGGGGGCUAGCGUUGCUCGGAAUGACUGGGCGUAAAGGGCGCGUAGGCGGACGGCUUUGUCGGGCGUGAAAUUCCAGGGCUUAACCUUGGGGCUGCGUUCGAGACGGGUUGUCUAGAGUUUGGAAGAGGGUCGUGGAAUUCCCAGUGUAGAGGUGAAAUUCGUAGGUAUUGGGAAGAACACCGGUGGCGAAGGCGGCGACCUGGUCCUUGACUGACGCUGAGGCGCGAAAGCGUGGGGAGCAAACAGG